rnacentral:lncRNA from 1 species
CACGUGUGGGAUGAUUUCCUAUUCUCAUAUCUCGAAAGAUGUUCCAUCAAAUUUUGAUUUCUUAUCUCAAAUAUAUAUUUUUUUAUUUUAAAAUUUUUAAUCUUUUAUUUAAUGAGUGCGUAUUACACGCAAUCUUCAACUUAUUAAUGUCAAAUCUGAAUUAUGACUUUAUGCACAAGGGAGAUAAAUGCCUCUAAAUCAUGAUAGCUUUUUUAUAAACUCGGCUCAUUUGAAUAUAAAAAUCCAGAAAUUAAAAAAAAUAAAAUUUUUAAAGUAAAUAAAAAAAAUCAAAAUCUAUAAAAUAAAAACAAGCAGAGGGG